CUCCACCGCGAAGACCUCAUCGACAUCGACUCUCCUUCCUGUUAGACUCCGAUGGUCCAACCACCGUCACGAUUGUCAUGCACUUCUGGACUCGGGCGCCGAAGGAGGAGACAGUGGAUUUAUCCAAUGUGCCCACGGAGUAUCGGGAUCUGAAGGAGGUGUUCAGCCGGAUCCAGAUCAUACGGCGAACCAGCACCUGGACACGACCACAACGCCUUUGCCCCCAUGCUAUUUCUACAUUACAGACAGUGGUUGAUCCACGAAAUUAGUAAUUUGGUAGUUUGUUUUUGUAUUUCUGUUGGUAAUGUCCUUGUCUUCUAAUACUGAUAACAACUUGUGCAAAAUACAAGUCUGCAAUAUGUUGAUUAAUCAGGAAAUAAAAACACAUCAUAACUUAUUCAGACAAAUAGCACUGCUGUAUUUCAUACAUUUUUUACAACAGACUGCUUUAUUUCCAAGUUGAUGCAUGCAUGGUAAACUUUACAUUU